GAUGAAGAACGUAGCGAAAUGCGAUACUUGGUGUGAAUUGCAGAAUCCCGUGAACCAUCGAGUCUUUGAACGCAAGUUGCGCCCGAAGCCAUUAGGCCGAGGGCACGCCUGCCUGGGCGUCACACGUCGUUGCCCCCCCCAUCUACUCCUUCGGGAUUGCGGGGGGCGGAUGAUGGCCUCCCGUGCGCUUCGCCGCGCGGUUGGCAUAAAUGCCAAGUCCUCGGCGACGCACGCCACGACAAUCGGUGGUUGCGAAACCUCGGUUGCCCGUCGUGUGCGGUCGUCGCGCAUCGAGGGCUCGAAAAAAUUGCCGAGUUCCGGCUCGGCUUUCAACGCGACCCCAGGUCAGGCGGGGUUACCCGCUGAAUUUAAGCAUAUCAAUAAGCGGAGGA
rnacentral:misc_RNA from 1 species